AUUUGACUCUGAACGCAAGUCACAAACAUCACCAGUUGCGGUGUUCUGAGCAGAAAGGGAAAGGGCAAGCCAAAUUGUGUUGUUUAAUGCUGAUUGACUUUGAAAUUUCUUUUGAAACAAAACUUGCUUUUGGUGAAGACCUAAUCUGACAUGAGUGCAGAGAAAAUGAAGAAGUAGCAGCAUUAUUACUAUCAUCCAAUCUUUAUUAAAAGCACACUAUGAAAAAAUCUGUUCUGAAGAGAAUAGGAACUGCUCUGACAUUUAAGCAAUUUUCAAACAUCCAGAACCAUUCAGAGUCAUAGUUAAAGGCACAUUUGUGA
rnacentral:lncRNA from 1 species